rnacentral:rRNA from 1 species
UACGAAGGGGGGCUAGCGUUGUUCGGAAUUACUGGGCGUAAAGGGCGCGUAGGCGGUGUGUCAAGUCAGGCGUGAAAGCCCCGGGCUCAACCUGGGAACCGCGCUUGAGACUGGCACGCUCGAGUUCGGGAGAGGAUGGUGGAAUUCCCAGUGUAGAGGUGAAAUUCGUAGAUAUUGGGAAGAACACCGAUGGCGAAGGCAGCCAUCUGGACCGACACUGACGCUGAGGAGCGAAAGCGUGGGGAGCGAACAGG